GGCCGCGCCCCGCCUUGAGCGGCUGCAGAAGCACGCGGCUGCGCACUAAGCCGCGAUCUACACACUCAGGACAGAUCGAUACAAAGGAGGAGAGUGAGAGAAAGGGAUAUGGGGAGAGGGAAGGAACCCUAGCUAGAAUCCAAAUUUCCCCUCAAAAAAGAAUCCAAAUUUCCCAGUUUUGCAGCAUCCUCAUCCGCCCGUGCAACUGGUUCUCGCCAGAAAGGGUUCCAUGUCCGGCACAGUGCUAUGUAUUCAGACCGCCCAAGGCGAUCCCGGCGCAAUCGAGGACGACAAGUGCAGCAACCAGCCAGCUCACAGGUUGAGGAGGAGGAUUCCAGCAAGGCAAGCAGCAGUGAGCUUGGGCCUACAAUUUCUGACACAUCGAAAUUCGAGACACUGUCGCUGAAUGACUCACCUCCCGCACUUGACUCAUCCGAUCGGUAUGACCUUUAAUUUUGAAAUUGCCUCUGUUCCAUCUGGUAGCAUGAUCACACCCCCAAAAAAAAGCAAAAUAAAUGAGUAGAACACAGAGAAGUGCAUUACAGAUCGAUAGUGUCUUGUGUUGAAAGAACCAUUUUGAACCCUCAGGAUUGACCAACAAAUUUCUCUGUUUUGCCUUGAUCACCCUCUUCCCACAUUGUGUAGAAUAAAGAUAAGUGCUAUAUGGU